rnacentral:rRNA from 1 species
GACAGAGGCCUCAAGCGUUAGGCGGAAUCACUGGGCUUAAAGCGUGUGUAGGCGGACGCCUAAGUGUCUUGUGAAAUCCCACGGCUCACCCGUGGAACUGCUGGGCAUACGUGGGCGUCGUUGGGCCAACUAGGGGCAGCCGGAACAAGCGGUGGAGCGGUGAAAUGCGUAGAUAACUCGCUUGGAACGCCGGAAGGUGAAAACAGGCUGCUGGGGU